GAUUAAGUUAUUAAGGGCGCACGGUGGAUGCCUUGGCACUAGAAGCCGAUGAAGGACGUUACUAACGACGAUAUGCUUUGGGGAGCUGUAAGUAAGCUUUGAUCCAGAGAUUUCCGAAUGGGGAAACCCAGCAUGAGUUAUGUCAUGUUAUCGAUAUGUGAAUACAUAGCAUAUCAGAAGGCACACCCGGAGAACUGAAACAUCUUAGUACCCGGAGGAAGAGAAAGAAAAUUCGAUUCCCUUAGUAGCGGCGAGCGAAACGGGAAGAGCCCAAACCAACAAGCUUGCUUGUUGGGGUUGUAGGACACUCUAUACGGAGUUACAAAGGACGACAUUAGACGAAUCAUCUGGAAAGAUGAAUCAAAGAAGGUAAUAAUCCUGUAGUCGAAAAUGUUGUCUCUCUUGAGUGGAUCCUGAGUACGACGGAGCACGUGAAAUUCCGUCGGAAUCUGGGAGGACCAUCUCCUAAGGCUAAAUACUCUCUAGUGACCGAUAGUGAACCAGUACCGUGAGGGAAAGGUGAAAAGCACCCCGGAAGGGGAGUGAAAUAGAACCUGAAACCGUGUGCUUACAAGUAGUCAGAGCCCGUUAAUGGGUGAUGGCGUGCCUUUUGUAGAAUGAACCGGCGAGUUACGAUUUGAUGCAAGGUUAAGCAGUAAAUGUGGAGCCGUAGCGAAAGCGAGUCUGAAUAGGGCGUUUAGUAUUUGGUCGUAGACCCGAAACCAGGUGAUCUACCCUUGGUCAGGUUGAAGUUCAGGUAACACUGAAUGGAGGACCGAACCGACUUACGUUGAAAAGUGAGCGGAUGAACUGAGGGUAGCGGAGAAAUUCCAAUCGAACCUGGAGAUAGCUGGUUCUCUCCGAAAUAGCUUUAGGGCUAGCCUCAAGUGAUGAUUAUUGGAGGUAGAGCACUGUUUGGACGAGGGGCCCCUCUCGGGUUACCGAAUUCAGACAAACUCCGAAUGCCAAUUAAUUUAACUUGGGAGUCAGAACAUGGGUGAUAAGGUCCGUGUUCGAAAGGGAAACAGCCCAGACCACCAGCUAAGGUCCCAAAAUAUAUGUUAAGUGGAAAAGGAUGUGGCGUUGCCCAGACAACUAGGAUGUUGGCUUAGAAGCAGCCAUCAUUUAAAGAGUGCGUAAUAGCUCACUAGUCGAGUGACACUGCGCCGAAAAUGUACCGGGGCUAAACAUAUUACCGAAGCUGUGGAUUGUCCUUUGGACAAUGGUAGGAGAGCGUUCUAAGGGCGUUGAAGCAUGAUCGUAAGGACAUGUGGAGCGCUUAGAAGUGAGAAUGCCGGUGUGAGUAGCGAAAGACGGGUGAGAAUCCCGUCCACCGAUUGACUAAGGUUUCCAGAGGAAGGCUCGUCCGCUCUGGGUUAGUCGGGUCCUAAGCUGAGGCCGACAGGCGUAGGCGAUGGAUAACAGGUUGAUAUUCCUGUACCACCUAUAAUCGUUUUAAUCGAUGGGGGGACGCAGUAGGAUAGGCGAAGCGUGCGAUUGGAUUGCACGUCUAAGCAGUAAGGCUGAGUAUUAGGCAAAUCCGGUACUCGUUAAGGCUGAGCUGUGAUGGGGAGAAGACAUUGAGUNNNNNNNNNNNNNNNNNNNNNNNNNNNNNNNNNNNNNNNNNNNNNNNNNNNNNNNNNNNNNNNNNNNNNNNNNNNNNNNNNNNNNNNNNNNNNNNNNGUCUUCGAGUCGUUGAUUUCACACUGCCGAGAAAAGCCUCUAGAUAGAAAAUAGGUGCCCGUACCGCAAACCGACACAGGUAGUCAAGAUGAGAAUUCUAAGGUGAGCGAGCGAACUCUCGUUAAGGAACUCGGCAAAAUGACCCCGUAACUUCGGGAGAAGGGGUGCUCUUUAGGGUUAACGCCCAGAAGAGCCGCAGUGAAUAGGCCCAAGCGACUGUUUAUCAAAAACACAGGUCUCUGCUAAACCGUAAGGUGAUGUAUAGGGGCUGACGCCUGCCCGGUGCUGGAAGGUUAAGAGGAGUGGUUAGCUUCUGCGAAGCUACGAAUCGAAGCCCCAGUAAACGGCGGCCGUAACUAUAACGGUCCUAAGGUAGCGAAAUUCCUUGUCGGGUAAGUUCCGACCCGCACGAAAGGCGUAACGAUUUGGGCACUGUCUCAACGAGAGACUCGGUGAAAUCAUAGUACCUGUGAAGAUGCAGGUUACCCGCGACAGGACGGAAAGACCCCGUGGAGCUUUACUGUAGCCUGAUAUUGAAAUUCGGCACAGCUUGUACAGGAUAGGUAGGAGCCUUUGAAACGUGAGCGCUAGCUUACGUGGAGGCGCUGGUGGGAUACUACCCUAGCUGUGUUGGCUUUCUAACCCGCACCACUUAUCGUGGUGGGAGACAGUGUCAGGCGGGCAGUUUGACUGGGGCGGUCGCCUCCUAAAAGGUAACGGAGGCGCUCAAAGGUUCCCUCAGAAUGGUUGGAAAUCAUUCAUAGAGUGUAAAGGCAUAAGGGAGCUUGACUGCGAGACCUACAAGUCGAGCAGGGUCGAAAGACGGACUUAGUGAUCCGGUGGUUCCGCAUGGAAGGGCCAUCGCUCAACGGAUAAAAGCUACCCCGGGGAUAACAGGCUUAUCUCCCCCAAGAGUUCACAUCGACGGGGAGGUUUGGCACCUCGAUGUCGGCUCAUCGCAUCCUGGGGCUGUAGUCGGUCCCAAGGGUUGGGCUGUUCGCCCAUUAAAGCGGUACGCGAGCUGGGUUCAGAACGUCGUGAGACAGUUCGGUCCCUAUCCGUCGUGGGCGUAGGAAAUUUGAGAGGAGCUGUCCUUAGUACGAGAGGACCGGGAUGGACAUACCUCUGGUGUACCAGUUGUCGUGCCAACGGCAUAGCUGGGUAGCUAUGUGUGGACGGGAUAAGUGCUGAAAGCAUCUAAGCAUGAAGCCCCCCUCAAGAUGAGAUUUCCCAACUUCGGUUAUAAGAUCCCUCAAAGAUGAUGAGGUUAAUAGGUUCGAGGUGGAAGCAUGGUGACAUGUGGAGCUGACGAAUACUAAUCGAUCGAAGACUUAAUCAA
rnacentral:rRNA from 1 species